UACGAAGGGUGCAAGCGUUACUCGGAAUUACUGGGCGUAAAGGGUGCGUAGGCGGUUGUUUAAGUCUGUCGUGAAAUCCCCGGGCCCAACCUGGGAAUGGCGAUGGAUACUGGGCAGCUAGAGUGUGUCAGAGGAUGGUGGAAUUCCCGGUGUAGCGGUGAAAUGCGUAGAGAUCGGGAGGAACAUCAGUGGCGAAGGCGGCCAUCUGGGACAACACUGACGCUGAAGCACGAAAGCGUGGGGAGCAAACAGG
rnacentral:rRNA from 1 species